rnacentral:rRNA from 1 species
UACAGAGGUCCCAAGCGUUGUUCGGAUUCAUUGGGCGUAAAGGGUGCGUAGGUGGCGCCGUAAGUCAGGUGUGAAAUCUCGGGGCUUAACUCCGAAACUGCAUUUGAUACUGCGGUGCUUGAGGACUGGAGAGGAGACUGGAAUUUACGGUGUAGCAGUGAAAUGCGUAGAGAUCGUAAGGAAGACCAGUGGCGAAGGCGGGUCUCUGGACAGUUCCUGACACUGAGGCACGAAGGCCAGGGAGCAAACGAG